CAUUCUCUCAGUGGAGGGCAUCCUGAUAAUCUGUCUUCCCCCGUGUAUCAACUGGAUGCUUCAAUUCAAAUGCUUCCAAGUAAAAGAUCAGAGAAAUUUUCUACAAAAAAAAGUUCCAAGAUAAAAAUUAAUGUAGGCAGAGGGAAUAAGCAGUAAGAAUAGUUCAAGUGUCUAACUAUCAUUGAAAGGGUUCAGUUUGAAACGUCAAAUUUACAUUUAAAUAAAAAAAGUACAACUCUUUUAUUAUGUCCAAGUACUACUCUUCCCAAACCACAAGGCAACAAGAUUAUGUCCAAGCCUGUUAGUAUCCAGGGACGGAUGUAGGGUUGGCAAAUACAUCAUUAUCAAGAACUAAUUUUAGGUAGAAAGUGUUUUAUUUGGACUUCAAAUUUAAAGGCUGAAGAGGUUACCACAAUGAUGACCUUGGCAGAGAAUGAGAUUCUUCAUGCUCGAGAUCACAUGCUUCUUUGCUGCCACCUCCACUGGCUGCAACCACUUUGCUUUCAGCAUCUGCAAUUCCUUUGCUAAUAUUUUCUUUGACUGUGCCAGUAUCAUGAUCUUCACCUGCAUCGGAAGUAUUUGACACACAGUAUUUAUGCAACCAUCUACCUGUUUCCCAAAGGACAUGCAUGAUGCUUUCCCUGGCAGAAUAGCCAUGGCUUUCAUAAGGAAGAAUCACCAGCCGACUUAGAGCACCAUGACCCUUCAGAGCAUUGAAAAACCUGUCUGACUGCAUAGGAGCACAAAGAAUAGAAGCAGCGAGCAAUUGGCUAAAGUAAGACUCCAAGGGAUUUAUCUCUUUCAAAUACUGCAAUAGUCAAUUAAUGACAAUUUACAAAAACAGUAGCCGUGGAAAUUCCUUUCUUACCUGCAUGGUUAAUGUUCCUGAAUUAUUAUCCUCUUCCCCAUGGAUAAGCAAGAUAGGCUUCUUAAUUUUAUUAGCUGACAUGAAAGGACUCAUCUCUACAUAAGUAUUAGUGGCCUCCCAAAGAGUUCUAUCUUCAUUCUACAGAAGAAAAUGGUGCAUAAGAUGUAAGAUCUUCAUUUCUAAAAGACAUUUAUAAGGUAUGACAGUCAAUCCAAAAAUAAGGUGUGAAAGGAGAUUAAAAGGAACCAUGGAGCAAAAGAAAAUUUAUGGAAGCCCUUGGAAUAAUAGAAAUCGAACUGUCAUAGGUAGUACCUGAAAACCGAAAGGAGUAAGGGUUCUGUUGUAAGCACCAGAACGAGCAAUUCCACAACAAAAAAGAUGAGGGGCAUGUGCCAGAAGGUUGGCAGUCAUGAACGCACCAUAGGAAUGUCCACCAACAGCUAUUUUCUUUGGAUGAGCUACCUAGAUGGGACAGCCAAAAAAUGUUUGAUUCAAAUUAUAUUUCUAUCUGAUUCAUAGCUUUAUCUAUUAGACAAGUAAAAAUAAAAGCUUACCCCACGCCGGAUAACUUCUUCC
rnacentral:lncRNA from 1 species